rnacentral:rRNA from 1 species
UACGGAGGGAGCUAGCGUUGUUCGGAAUUACUGGGCGUAAAGCGCACGUAGGCGGCUUUGUAAGUUAGAGGUGAAAGCCCGGAGCUCAACUCCGGAACUGCCUUUAAGACUGCAUCGCUUGAAUCCAGGAGAGGUGAGUGGAAUUCCGAGUGUAGAGGUGAAAUUCGUAGAUAUUCGGAAGAACACCAGUGGCGAAGGCGGCUCACUGGACUGGUAUUGACGCUGAGGUGGCGAAAAGCGUGGGGAGCAAACAGG